AGAAAGGAGUGGCCCUCGCUGCGCAGGUUGACCACUGGCGGGUUCCUUCUCCAACUCCCUGUGUUAGGACAGAAGUCUCCUGAGUUUCUGCACCAGUGGACUCUGUCAAUCGCUUGGAUAAAAUGGCAUUAUUUGUAUCCAUAUAAUUUUACAGGGCUUAUCGUGUUGACAUCCAGAGUUUAAAACGUUCUACUGUGCAUGCUGUCUGUCCUAAAUCUGGUGAGACUCGGGGCUGCCUUUGAAUGUCGCAGGCUGAGAACGCUGCCUCUUGCUGCAACCUCUAAGAGACUUUUAGAAUAACCGGGUGACCUUAGUAAAUUACGGGAGUACUUUGUCCCAGAGUUACUAAUAGGGGAGAUGACCUGAUGAAUUCUAUAUUUUUAGCUCAUAACAUUUUUUAAAGUAAUAAAACGUUGAGAUUUUGUAGAGAGAAAAGCAAACAGCAAGUUAGUAGAUUGGUAGGUAACACAGAUCAAUCUCUUUGUCCUGGUUAGUGUGUCUUAUUGCAUGCUAUAUAUUUCUAUUGAUUUUUAGAAGGUUUCUCUAUUCAGAAAGAAUUAAAAAUAACAAGAAACACCUACCUUUCAAUUUGAUUAAUAAAGAUUGCCAAGUUAAAAAUAGAAAAGGAUGCUGAGUCCGGAAAAAAGAAACAAGCCUUAAAAAAUGCUUUAAGCCUAUUUGUACAAAAUGAAAUGGAAUGCUAUGAUUUUUUUUCCCUGAAAAUCUCUACAUUUGACAAGUGAGUAGAUAUUUUAAAUUUCUACUUAUGAAGUAUAGAUUCAUAUGUGAGCAAAAGUUAUCACCGAAUAUAAAAGGAUCCUCACACAUUAACUUCGCAUAAAUACAGGUAAUUAAAUAUGACCCAUAAGAACCACUAGCUCUCAGUAAUGAAAGAAUGGAAAAUACAUAAGAAUAAUAGAUUUUAUGAUGAUAUAGUUGAUCCUUAAUUACAUUUAUCUAACCAGAAAUGCAGCCUCUGGUCACACUGUUUGGUUUCAGAUCUCUGUUCACCUAUGUCAAGGUGGUCAAGAAAUUGUUUUAAGGGUCAGGAAAAAAAAGAACUGUCAGUGUACAGAUUUUGAGAAAAAUAAAAGAUAGAAAGGAAAGUUUUAAAGGGAGAGAAAGCAAGGUCUCCCAUCCCAGGCACGUAGUGAUGGCGACAGACUGUUUUGUCUGAGGAAGUCUUGUCCUUUGAAAGGCUGUGACUGAUGAGCUCCUAACAGAGUGAUACCUGUCAUCUCAGGAUCAAACAGGACACAACAAGGACAGGACCUUCAGGAGCGCCUUCUUUCUGGUCUGACCACUGACUGUGUUUAAGGUUGUGAUACACUACACCCAGAUCGUUUCAGACUGGCAGUUGUCCUCAGCCUUCCUCAUGCUGAGAUCAUUUUAUACAGUUCCCCCAUGUUGUAGUGACCCUGACCAUAAAAUUAUUCCCAUUGCUGCUUCAUAACUGUAAUCCUGCUAUUGCUAUGAGCUGUGAUGUAAAUAUUUGUGUUUUCUGAAGAUUUUAGAAGACUUCUAUGAAAGAGUCCCCGAUGCCUUAAAGGGGUUGUGACCCACAAGUUGAGAACCACUGUGUUAGAGCCAUCUAUCAAGCCAGGAACUGGUACAGGGAAGAGAUCUUACCUGUUUCAAAACAUUAAGGGCCAGUUGUUACUGCAGCACCAGUCUAUACUGAUACAUAACAAAACAAAACAAAUCUCAGAGGAUUGAGCUGAGCCAGAGAGUUGUGCCUCACAUUGAAGUGAAUAACACAAGAAAAUUCCUGGGACUUAAGGCUCAGAGGUUGGUUGCUAGUGAGUUGGUAUCGGCGGUACACAUAGAUGCCGAUUUAAAGAAAGAGAAACAAACAAACAAACAAAAACCCCAAAAACUAGAAAUAGCUUCAGGAUUAGAAUGAAUGAAUGAAUAAAUCAGUAAAUCAAUCAAUCAAUCAAUAAAUCAAUAAAGCAAGCUUAAACUCCCUCUUACUCUGCUCUGGGGCCUUGAAUUUGGAAAGGUAUGUCUUCUGAUCUACAGCUCAAAUUGUUAAAUUGUGAGGGAUUACCCCCACCUCCAAGGUCUGAAAAAGGAGUUUCCAAGGUACAAGCCCUCUCAUUUCUGCUUUCUUCACACACACAGCUACUGGGAAGGACCCUGACCCCUGGCCUUAUUAGCGAGACACUAACCCAAUGAGCCACCAGCUGCACUCUGAAAGCCCACGUGCACUCGGGCUGCGUAUUGGUCUCAUUGUUAUAAGACAUCCCAUUCAUGUCUGAUCAUUCGUCAACAUAGCGGCAUGAGUUAUUAUUAUAGGCUAUAGAAAGGUACACUGAAACAAUUAGAGUUUUGAAAAUGAAUUGUGCCUUGACAAUGGCUCUUUACCUUAAGAUGUUUAUAACUCUUCUUUGCUUUUAUGGUUUUAGUCGGUGUUUCAAUGCCACUAAUAACUUCCUAUUUAAAAAUUGUCUUCUCAAGUCAGAAUCUUCUAUGUGGUAGAAAAGACAGAUCACGGGAUUUCUCAGUUCAUGGCUCUUCCAGUUGUACUGUGCCUGUGCUAAUUACCCAGCAAUGCCACUAAUUGAACUGGAGUAAGGUCUGAAGUUCUGUUUCUUUAUCUAGUAGCUGAGUGACAUGGAUGCUACUGUGCCCAGACCAUUCUGUGAACACUCAGGGCCAGGGCCAGUUUCUCAACAUUCACUAAUUUAUUUAACCUAUCUAUAAGUGUGUUUAAGGGCAUUCACCCUAGAAGGUGGGAGAAGAUCAAUAAAAUCAAAUAUCGACUCCCUUAUAACUGCAUCUCAAGCAGGAAAAAACCAAAAGCCCAAGAAGAUUGGACCUAAGAAUGCUUCUGCUGUGAUAACCAAGGAAAGAAGUGUGAACUACAUUUAUUUGGGAUACUGGAAGAGGCAUUUGAGGAGUAUAUUUUGCUACCCAAAUUCUGAACUCUAAUUGUUUUCUUACCCCUUAUCCUAUGUAGGUGUAUCAGGAAAAGAACAAGCCAUCCCAGAAUAAUGAGCAGUUGUGUCUGUGGACGUAAAGUUUGGGCUGUAUUUCUUCAGUGACUGACAUCUCAGAGAAGAAUGGAUGUCAGAAAUAUCCACCCAUCUCUGUAGAGAGGCUUGCUGAUGGAGACAAUUAAAAGCAAUGAUUG
rnacentral:lncRNA from 1 species